ACUAGUGUGGACUGAUGGUUUGAACAUCAGACUAUAGCUCUGGAGGCCAAGGUUCAAAUCCUUGCUUGGCC